UUUGAUGGCGACCGGCGCACGGGUGAGUAACACGUAUCCAACCUGCCGAUGACUCGGGAUAGCCUUUCGAAAGAAAGAUUAAUACCCGAUGGCAUAGUUCUUCCGCAUGGUAGAACUAUUAAAGAAUUUCGGUCAUCGAUGGGGAUGCGUUCCAUUAGGUUGUUGGCGGGUAACGGCCCACCAAGCCUUCGAUGGAUAGGGGUUCUGAGAGGAAGGUCCCCCACAUUGGAACUGAGACACGGUCCAA
rnacentral:rRNA from 1 species